rnacentral:rRNA from 1 species
UACGGAGGGUGCAAGCGUUGUUCGGAUUUAUUGGGCGUAAAGCGCGUGUAGGCGGUUUCUUAAGUCUGAUGUGAAAGCCCCGGGCUCAACCCGGGAAGUGCAUUGGAUACUGGGAGACUUGAAUACGGGAGAGGGUAGUGGAAUUCCUAGUGUAGGAGUGAAAUCCGUAGAUAUUAGGAGGAACACCGGUGGCGAAGGCGGCUACCUGGACCGAUAUUGACGCUGAGACGCGAAAGCGUGGGGAGCAAACAGG